GGGGUUUCACCAUGUUGGCCAGGCUGGUCUUGAACUCCUGACCUCAGGUGAUGCACCUGCCUCGGCCUCUCAAAAUGCUGGGAUUACAGGUGUGAGCCACCACGCCCAGCCUCUGGGAUUCUUAGUAUACACAUCCAGAUUGCCUUUCGACAAUCACAUACCAGUUUUCAGUCCCACCAGCACCACAGAAAGAUUCCCAUUUUACUUGAGAAAGUUACAUUUUUUAGGGAAAGUUCAUGGGAGGGGCUGGAAAAGACCUAAGUAUUGGUCAUGUGCUAGAAACACCUAACUGAAUUAUUGAACAAGAGGGGUUGCAUUCUUAGCUUUUCAAAGAGGCAUGGGUGGGUGAGGCUGAAAAUCCCACUAUUGGAAAGAUUCAGAUGUGGAAGCGGCCACAGGACGGGAAUCUGCAGUCAGGAAGAGAAGUGUCAGCGUUCUCUCCCAGGAGCAUUUCUGUGCAGAGUCAAGGUCCCGGACAUCCAGUUACAAAAACAAGAGUGCAGAAGCAGCCAGCAGCCUCCCGUGACCUUGAAUCAGAAGGAAAGCGGGAAACAGUGUACACCGGAGGCGCCCAGUAACGGACAUUUACGUUGCUCUGAUUCUCUGCCAUCCCAAGCAGCACCAUGAGGAACAGCGCUAUGCAGGACCUUCUGCGGAUGCACCUGUGCCAGUCUGUCUGGCUGGGGCCUGCACACUCCGAGAAAGGACUGUGCACUCUGAGGAAGGACUGCGCAGUCUGAGGAAGGGCUGAGCACUCUUGUGGAAGUACCGCCCACUCUGAGGAAGGACCGUGCACUCUGAGGAAGGACUGCGCAGUCUGAGGAAAGGCUGCGCACUCUCGUGGAAGUACCGCCCACUCUGAGGAAGGACUGCUAGGUUGUCUCUCUGGAAAGUUUUCUGUUGCCCAUGCGGAGAAUAUUCAAGUUUUGUUUCGGCCUUCCAGAAUUUCCCUCCUGUUUGGGGGGGAUCAUCCUCCACUCCGUUAUACAGCCUCGGAGGCAGACACCACUCGUCAUCGGAUGUCAAACCAAAGCUCCCCCAGGCUUAGCAGGUGUGGGUGCAGGAGGGUGCGGGAGUCAGAUCUCCAUCUAUCUGGUCUCGCCUUGUUUCUAGUCCUUUGCAGGGGUGUUCUUCCAGCAUCCUCCAAUCCAUCCGGGACUGUCCAUCUUGAGUGACACAAAAGAGUGGGGCAGGACAGCCUGGCCGACUGUCCCUCCGAGACCAGACACGGGGUGUGUGUGUGUGUGUGUGUGUGUGUGUGUGUGUGUUGGAGGGGUCCCCAAAGGGGCACAGAAGUCCCGGGAGGCUUUUCAGAAGAGAAGAGAUGGAGCCUGAAUGGGCAAAAGCAGCAGCUGUGCUGUUAGGAGCUGGAGUGAAUACUGUGAGCCCAGACACCUGGGAUGAGAUCCACAGAUGUGGCCCGGUCCCUUACUCUUUUGGUGCCUCAGUUUCCCCAUCUGUACCAUGGGGAUAACAACAGUGCAUGCCUCAUCGGUUGGUUAUGAUGAUAAACAAACUGGAUUUUAAAAAGGUCUGGCCCAGCAGACUCACUCUGUGUUUGCUGUUAUCAGAACCCUGUCCUCAGACCCUGGCCUGACACCACCUCAUACUCCCUCUCAUGCCUCUUAGUCACUUCCUGAAAGUCUGCAGCAGACGACACGGCUUCUCCCAGCCCGUCUUCUUCCCCACACGGUGGGCAUGGUAACGUCCUUAACAUGCACCUGUCAGUGUGAAAGCAGCAGGCUGAGAUCACACACCAAGUUCCCUAGAGUCGGGGUUUCAGCAUGUUAGCCGAGCUGGUCUUGAACUCCUGAGCUCAAGUGAUCCACCCACCCGAGCCUCCUAAAGUGUUGCGAUUACAGAGGCUACAGAUUUCCUCUCUGGAGAGAAGGAACCGGGGUUGCUCGCUGAGCUGACAAGAGGUGGCAUCCUGGAAAGAUGCAGCUGGCCAAAGCCUGCCCUCCAUACGGAGUCCCCCCCUCGGCCAAUGGCUCCAGCUAAAGGUGAGAGAAUUCCUUGCGUGGCAGAAUGGGCCACCCAAGACCUACCAACACUGACACUCAGGACCCCAGUCAAACAGAGUGGCCUUAGCAAGGGAGGUGGGUGCCAUUAUCAUCACUUGCGGAUGUGGAACUCAUGCCCAGAGGGUAUGACCAACCUGUAGGUUCCCAGCCAGGAAGCUGAAGGGCUCAGAUGCGAACCUGACUCAGUGUGGCACUCGGCAGGUCCCUUCCAGGAGCCUCAUCCCUGCCUCCGUAGGAUGGAGGUGGGGACAGCCCUCCUGAGGACACAUUUCCUGCACUGCCUCCCACAGCUGUGCCCAGACUCCCAGAGCCUCUCUCAUGCCAAGAGAGUCUGUGGUGGGAGCCAAGACAGCUGACCCCAGAAGCCCCGGGCACCCCAGACGCUCGGCCCUGGGAGGGUGGCUGUGCCGGACAGACUCCAGACAGAGCUCAGACUCCGGGUCUACACACAGUGACUUUAUUACUCUAUGGAUGCUGGUGAACUGCCCUCCCCAACCAGCUUCACGGGGGCAGGCAUCUCUGUCCAUCCCAUGCC
rnacentral:lncRNA from 1 species